rnacentral:rRNA from 1 species
GCUUCUUUUUCCACCGGAGCUUGCUCCACCGGAAAAAGAGGAGUGGCGAACGGGUGAGUAACACGUGGGUAACCUGCCCAUCAGAAGGGGAUAACACUUGGAAACAGGUGCUAAUACCGUAUAACAAUCGAAACCGCAUGGUUUUGAUUUGAAAGGCGCUUUCGGGUGUCGCUGAUGGAUGGACCCGCGGUGCAUUAGCUAGUUGGUGAGGUAACGGCUCACCAAGGCCACGAUGCAUAGCCGACCUGAGAGGGUGAUCGGCCACAUUGGGACUGAGACACGGCCCAAACUCCUACGGGAGGCAGCAGUAGGGAAUCUUCGGCAAUGGACGAAAGUCUGACCGAGCAACGCCGCGUGAGUGAAGAAGGUUUUCGGAUCGUAAAACUCUGUUGUUAGAGAAGAACAAGGAUGAGAGUAACUGUUCAUCCCUUGACGGUAUCUAACCAGAAAGCCACGGCUAACUACGUGCCAGCAGCCGCGGUAAUACGUAGGUGGCAAGCGUUGUCCGGAUUUAUUGGGCGUAAAGCGAGCGCAGGCGGUUUCUUAAGUCUGAUGUGAAAGCCCCCGGCUCAACCGGGGAGGGUCAUUGGAAACUGGGAGACUUGAGUGCAGAAGAGGAGAGUGGAAUUCCAUGUGUAGCGGUGAAAUGCGUAGAUAUAUGGAGGAACACCAGUGGCGAAGGCGGCUCUCUGGUCUGUAACUGACGCUGAGGCUCGAAAGCGUGGGGAGCAAACAGGAUUAGAUACCCUGUAA